rnacentral:rRNA from 1 species
CUACGGGGUGCACCAGUAGGGAAUCUUAGACAAUGGGGGAAACCCUGAUCUAGCCAUGCCGCGUGAGUGAUGAAGGCCUUAGGGUUGUAAAGCUCUUUCGCUGGGGAAGAUAAUGACGGUACCCAGUAAAGAAACCCCGGCUAACUCCGUGCCAGCAGCCGCGGUAAUACGGAGGGGGUUAGCGUUGUUCGGGAAUUACUGGGCGUAAAGCGCGCGUAGGCGGGCUAUUAAGUCAGGGGUGAAAUCCCGGGGCUCAACCCCGGAACUGCCUUUGAUACUGGUAGUCUUGAGUUCGAGAGAGGUGAGUGGAAUUCCGAGUGUAGAGGUGAAAUUCGUAGAUAUUCGGAGGAACAUCAGUGGCGAAGGCGACUCACUGGCUCGAUACUGACGCUGAGGUGCGAAAGUGUGGGGAGCAAACAGGAUUAGAUACCCUGGUAGUC